rnacentral:rRNA from 1 species
AUUGAACGCUGGCGGCAUGCCUUACACAUGCAAGUCGAACGGUAACAGGUUAAGCUGACGAGUGGCGAACGGGUGAGUAAUGUAUCGGAACGUGCCCAGUCGUGGGGGAUAACUGCUCGAAAGAGCAGCUAAUACCGCAUACGACCUGAGGGUGAAAGCGGGGGAUCGCAAGACCUCGCGCGAUUGGAGCGGCCGAUAUCAGAUUAGGUAGUUGGUGAGGUAAAGGCUCACCAAGCCGACGAUCUGUAGCUGGUCUGAGAGGACGACCAGCCACACUGGGACUGAGACACGGCCCAGACUCCUACGGGAGGCAGCAGUGGGGAAUUUUGGACAAUGGGCGCAAGCCUGAUCCAGCCAUGCCGCGUGCGGGAAGAAGGCCUUCGGGUUGUAAACCGCUUUUGUCAGGGAAGAAAAGGUUCUGGCUAAUACCUGGGACUCAUGACGGUACCUGAAGAAUAAGCACCGGCUAACUACGCG